rnacentral:rRNA from 1 species
UACGUAGGGUGCGAGCGUUGUCCGGAAUUAUUGGGCGUAAAGAGCUCGUAGGCGGUUUGUCGCGUCGGCCGUGAAACUUGGGGCUUAACCCCAAGCCUGCGGUCGAUACGGGCAGACUAGAGUGUGGUAGGGGAGACUGGAAUUCCUGGUGUAGCGGUGAAAUGCGCAGAUAUCAGGAAGAACACCAAUGGCGAAGGCAGCUCUCUGGGACGGUACUGACGCUGAGACGCGAAAGCGUGGGGAGCGAACAGG